UUUUUGGAGAGUUUGAUUCUGGCUCAGAACGAACGUUGGCGGCGUGGAUAAGGCAUGCAAGUCGAACGAUCUUAUUGCAUCUCAAAGCCGCAAGGCCGAGAGAUUCGAUUUGAUAGUGGCAAAAGGGUGAGUAACACGUGGAUAAUUUACCUUCGAGCGUGGGAUAACAUUCCGAAAGGGGUGCUAAUACCGCAUAAGACCACGAUCCUGCAUGGGAUUGAGGUCAAAGGUGGGGACCGCAAGGCCUAUCACUUGAAGAUGAGUCCGCGUUCUAUCAGCUUGUUGGUAGGG
rnacentral:rRNA from 1 species